rnacentral:rRNA from 1 species
CCUACGGGUGGCAGCAGUGAGGAAUAUUGGUCAAUGGACGAGAGUCUGAACCAGCCAAGUAGCGUGAAGGAUGACUGCCCUAUGGGUUGUAAACUUCUUUUAUAUGGGAAUAAAAUGUUCCACGUGUGGGAUUUUGUAUGUACCAUAUGAAUAAGGAUCGGCUAACUCCGUGCCAACAGCCGCGGUAAUACGGAGGAUCCGAGCGUUAUCCGGAUUUAUUGGGUGUAAAGGGAGCGUAGGUGGAUUGUUAAGUGAGUUGUGAAAUUUUGCGGCUCAACCGUAAAAUUGCAGUUGAAACUGGCAGUCUUGAGUACAGUAGAGGUGGGCGGAAUUCGUGGUGUAGCGGUGAAAUGCUUAGAUAUCACGAAGAACUCCGAUUGCGAAGGCAGCUCACUGGACUGCAACUGACACUGAGGCUCGAAAGUGUGGGUAUCAAACAGGAUUAGAUACCCGGGUAGUC